rnacentral:rRNA from 1 species
CCUCGGAUCAGGUAGGGAUACCCGCUGAACUUAAGCAUAUCAAUAAGCGGAGGAAAAGAAACCAACCGGGAUUGCCUCAGUAACGGCGAGUGAAGCGGCAAGAGCUCAAAUUUGAAAGCUGGCUCCUUCGGGGUCCGCAUUGUAAUUUGCAGAGGAUGCUUCGGGUGCGGCCCCUGUCUAAGUGCCCUGGAACGGGCCGUCAGAGAGGGUGAGAAUCCCGUCUGGGAUGGGGUGUCCGCGCCCGUGUGAAGCUCCUUCGACGAGUCGAGUUGUUUGGGAAUGCAGCUCUAAAUGGGUGGUAAAUUUCAUCUAAAGCUAAAUACUGGCCGGAGACCGAUAGCGCACAAGUAGAGUGAUCGAAAGAUGAAAAGCACUUUGAAAAGAGAGUUAAAAAGCACGUGAAAUUGUUGAAAGGGAAGCGCUUGCGACCAGACUCGCCUCCAGGGUUCAGCCGGCAUUCGUGCCGGUGUACUUCCCUGGGGGCGGGCCAGCGUCGGUUUGGGCGGCCGGUCAAAGGCUCCCGGAAUGUAGUGCCCUCCGGGGCACCUUAUAGCCGGGAGUGCAAUGCGGCCAGCCUGGACCGAGGAACGCG